rnacentral:lncRNA from 1 species
UUGUCAUUAAUUAACUUUUCCCUCUCUGCUCUCCUUAAGAUUUCUACUGAUUCUACCACAUUCGGCUGCACACCCUUCUUUAGUUGUCUAAUGCAUUCAACUUCGUCCCAUUUUACAGUGAUAUUCCUGCUAUGUGCCUCACAUGCUGGGGCUGUUGCGGGCUUGGCGUGCGAGAUAUCCUCCUUAUGCUCUUUCAUUCUUUUUGCUGUCGUUCUUGUGGUGACUCCAACGUGGGCUGAUUCUUCCCCUGUGUUGUUAUCUGCAAUAGGUAUCCUAUACACUCCUCUUCUUUCUUUUUGUUCAAGCUUGUCUUUCUUUGUUUAUUAA